rnacentral:rRNA from 1 species
UACGUAGGGUGCGAGCGUUGUCCGGAAUUAUUGGGCGUAAAGGGCUCGUAGGCGGUUUGUCGCGUCGGGAGUGAAAUCCACUGGCUUAACUGGUGGCUUGCCUUUCGAUACGGGCAGACUGGAGGUAUGCAGGGGAGAACGGAAUUCCGUGGUGUAGCGGUGAAAUGCGCAGAUAUCAAGGAGGAACACCGGUGGCGAAGGCGGUUCUCUGGGCAUGUCCUGACGCUGAGGAGCGAAAGUGUGGGGAGCGAACAGG